rnacentral:rRNA from 1 species
AGGACGAACGCUGGCGGCGUGCCUAAUACAUGCAAGUCGAACGCUUCUUUCCUCCCGAGUGCUUGCACUCAAUUGGAAAGAGGAGUGGCGGACGGGUGAGUAACACGUGGGUAACCUACCCAUCAGAGGGGGAUAACACUUGGAAACAGGUGCUAAUACCGCAUAACAGUUUAUGCCGCAUGGCAUAAGAGUGAAAGGCGCUUUCGGGUGUCGCUGAUGGAUGGACCCGCGGUGCAUUAGCUAGUUGGUGAGGUAACGGCUCACCAAGGCCACGAUGCAUAGCCGACCUGAGAGGGUGAUCGGCCACACUGGGACUGAGACACGGCCCAGACUCCUACGGGAGGCAGCAGUAGGGAAUCUUCGGCAAUGGACGAAAGUCUGACCGAGCAACGCCGCGUGAGUGAAGAAGGUUUUCGGAUCGUAAAACUCUGUUGUUAGAGAAGAACAAGGACGUUAGUAACUGAACGUCCCCUGACGGUAUCUAACCAGAAAGUCACGGCUAACUACGUGCCAGCAGCCGCGGUAAUACGUAGGUGGCAAGCGUUGUCCGGAUUUAUUGGGCGUAAAGCGAGCGCAGGCGGAUUGAUAAGUCUGAUGUGAAAGCCUUCGGCUCAACCGAAGAACUGCAUCAGAAACUGUCAAUCUUGAGUGCAGAAGAGGAGAGUGGAACUCCAUGUGUAGCGGUGGAAUGCGUAGAUAUAUGGAAGAACACCAGUGGCGAAGGCGGCUCUCUGGUCUGUAACUGACGCUGAGGCUCGAAAGCAUGGGUAGCGAACAGGAUUAGAUACCCUGGUAGUCCAUGCCGUAAACGAUGAGUGCUAAGUGUUGGGAGGUUUCCGCCUCUCAGUGCUGCAGCUAACGCAUUAAGCACUCCGCCUGGGGAGUACGACCGCAAGGUUGAAACUCAAAGGAAUUGACGGGGGCCCGCACAAGCGGUGGAGCAUGUGGUUUAAUUCGAAGCACGCGAAGAACCUUACCAGGUCUUGACAUCCUUGACACUAAGAGAUUAGUUUU